AUCCAGCUGAAGAGUCCCAAAUAAGACUAAACGCGAGUUCUGGAU
rnacentral:hammerhead_ribozyme from 1 species